AGAGUUUGAUCAUGGCUCAGGAUGAACGCUAGCGGCAGGCCUAACACAUGCAAGUCGAGGGGUAACAUAGUUUGCUUGCAAACUGAUGACGACCGGCGCACGGGUGCGGAACGCGUAUGGAACCUGCCCCUGUCAGGGGAAUAGCCCAGGGAAACUUGGAUUAAUGCCCCAUGGUAUCGUUUUAUCGCAUGAUAUUACGAUUAAAGAUUUAUCGGACAGGGAUGGCCAUGCGUACCAUUAGUUAGUUGGUGAGGUAACGGCUUACCAAGGCAGCGAUGGUUAGGGGCCCUGAGAGGGGGAUCCCCCACACUGGUACUGAGACACGGACCAGACUCCUACGGGAGGCAGCAGUGAGGAAUAUUGGACAAUGGGCGGGAGCCUGAUCCAGCCAUGCCGCGUGCAGGAUGACGGCCCUAUGGGUUGUAAACUGCUUUUAUACGGGAAGAAACGCACCUACGUGUAGGUGUCUGACGGUACCGUAAGAAUAAGGACCGGCUAACUCCGUGCCAGCAGCCGCGGUAAUACGGAGGGUCCGAGCGUUAUCCGGAAUCAUUGGGUUUAAAGGGUCCGUAGGCGGGCCUGUAAGUCAGGGGUGAAAGUUUGUGGCUCAACCAUAAAAUUGCCUUUGAUACUGCAGGUCUUGAGUCAUGGUGGGGUUGCCGGAACAUGUGGUGUAGCGGUGAAAUGCAUAGAUAUCACAUAGAACACCGAUCGCGAAGGCAGGUGACCAACCAUGUACUGACGCUGAUGGACGAA
rnacentral:rRNA from 1 species